rnacentral:rRNA from 1 species
GACGAACGCUGGCGGCGUGCUUAACACAUGCAAGUCGAACGGAAAGGCCCUGCUUUUGUGUGUUUGUCGUUUGGCGAACGGGGGAGUAACACGCGUGUAACCCCCCCCUGACUUUGUGGUAACUCUAGGAAACUGGGGCUAUAACCGGAUAGGAGCUCUUGCUCCACGGGGGGGGUUGGAAAGUUUCGGCGGUGGUGGCUGGACUCGCUGGUUAUCCGCUUGUUUGUGUGGUAGUGGCAUACCAGGGUUUUGACGGGUAGCCGGCCUAAGAGGGUGACCGGGCACAUUGGGACUAAGAUACGGACCAGAAUCGUACGGGAGGCAGCAGUGGAGAACAUUGCACAGUGGGCGGGAGCCAGAUGCAGAAACGCCGCGUGCGGGAUGACGGCCUUCGGGUUGUAAACCGAUUUCGCAUGUGACGAAGCGUGAGUGACGGUAAUGGGUAAAGAAGCACCGGCUAACUACGUG